CUAUAACGGUCCUAAGGUAGCGAAAUUCCUUGUCGGGUAAGUUCCGACCCGCACGAAAGGCGCAACGAUCUGGGCACUGUCUCAACGAGAGACUCGGUGAAAUUAUAGUACCUGUGAAGAUGCAGGUUACCCGCGACAGGACGGAAAGACCCCGUGGAGCUUUACUGCAACCUGAUAUGGAAUGUUUGUACCGCUUGUACAGGAUAGGUAGGAGCCGAAGAGACGUGUGCGCUAGCAUACGAGGAGGCAAUGGUGGGAUACUACCCUGGCUGUAUGACCAUUCUAACCCGCCACGCUUAGCGCGUGGGGAGACAGUGUCAGGUGGGCAGUUUGACUGGGGCGGUCGCC
rnacentral:rRNA from 1 species